UACAGAGGUCUCAAGCGUUGUUCGGAUUUAUUGGGCGUAAAGAGCGUGUAGGCGGCCUGGUAGGUCUGCUGUGAAAACUCGAGGCUCAACCUCGAGAUGUCGGCGGAAACCAUCUGGCUAGAGUCCGGAAGAGGAGAGUGGAAUUCCUGGUGUAGCGGUGAAAUGCGCAGAUAUCAGGAAGAACACCUAUGGCGAAGGCAGCUCUCUGGGACGGUACUGACGCUGAGACGCGAAAGCGUGGGAGCGAACAGG
rnacentral:rRNA from 1 species